rnacentral:lncRNA from 1 species
GAAUUAAACAUGGCUUCUUCUUCUAAGUUAGUACUUGUAAUUUGUUUUAUGAUCAGUGCUUUUUGCAUUGCAAUUGGGGCCAAAUUCGAUCAAGAAUUUGAGAUAACAUGGGGUGAUGGCAGAGCAAAGAUACUCAACAAUGGGGACCUCCUAACUCUCUCACUUGACAAAAUCUCUGGCUCUGGUUUUCAAUCGAAGAAUGAAUAUCUCUUUGGUAAAAUUGACAUGCAGCUCAAACUUGUCUCUGGAAACUCUGCUGGCACUGUCACUGCUUACUAUGUAAUUCCCUUAAUUUCUUUUCUUAUAUAAUUUUUGAGCUAUACAUGUUUAUUGAGUUGAAAUGAAAUUGAACUUCUUUUUUGAAAAUUUAUUGCAGUUGUCAUCACAAGGACCAACACAUGAUGAGAUAGAUUUUGAAUUCUUGGGAAAUCUAAGUGGUGAUCCUUAUACUCUCCAUACUAAUGUAUUUAGCCAAGGCAAAGGAAACAGAGAACAACAAUUUCAUCUAUGGUUUGACCCUACUGCUGAUUUCCACACUUAUUCCAUCACUUGGAAUCCACAACGCAUCAUGUAAACAUUCAAUCUUUCUUCAAAUCUAACACAUUCUUUUAAGGAUAAAUCUUGAUUUGGGGUUCUCUUAUUUUUUGAUUGAACAGAUUCUAUGUGGACGGAACGCCGAUUAGAGAAUACAAGAACAGUGAAUCGAUGGGAGUUUCAUAUCCGAAGAACCAAGCAAUGAGGAUAUACUCGAGUCUUUGGAAUGCAGAUGAUUGGGCUACAAGAGGAGGACUUGUCAAGACUGAUUGGAGCCAAGCACCCUUUAGUGCUUCUUACAGAAACUUCAGUGCUAAUGCAUGUAUUCCCAGUUCUUCAUCUUCUUGCAGUUCCAAUACUACAACUUCAACAAGCAAUUCAUGGUUGAAUGAAGAGUUAGAUAACACAAGUCAAGAGAGGCUCAAAUGGGUGCAGAAGAAUUACAUGGUUUAUAAUUACUGCACUGAUUCUAAACGAUUUUCACAAGGAUUUCCAGCAGAUUGUGUUCAGAACAGCUAAGCAUUUACAGUGAAAAAUAGUGUAUUCUUUUAUUUAUUGUACUGAUUCUUUUAUUGUUCUGCAUCAACCAGAAGAUGCAUUAAUUAUUGAGGAUUAGAAACAUCUUAUUAUUGUAUUGACAAUGAAAUAGAUAUAUUCUUUUAUAGCUUAGUGUUUUGGAUAUGAAAAAUUAUGCUACUACAGCUCUUUUGCAAAGUACAAAAGAGGUGAAUUGGCAUCAUUUUUAAAAUUCCUAUCUAAAUUGAUGAGAAGGCGGGAGAAAAGUCAAAUUAUUUAACUUAAUUAUGUAAUAAUAUUUGUUUAAUCAAAUAAUCCAUUUCUAAUUACCCUAUAAUUGAUUAUGACAAAUAAAAAAAUCGUUAUAAUUACUAAAUUAUAUACUCCCUCCGUCCCAUUUUAUGUGAGGUUGUUUGACUCGACACAAAGUUUAAGAAAGAAAGGAAGACUUUUAAAACUUGUGAUUUAAAAUGAAUGAUAUAAAUUUGUGUGACGGUAAAUCAUUUCAUUAAGGGCAAAAUAGAAAUUUUAUAGUUAAAUUGAUAGUACUUAAUAUAUAAAUAUGUCAUUCUUUUUGGGAUUGACUAAAAUAUAAGUAAGUCAAAUAAAUUGGGAUAGAGGGAGUAAUUAUAUAAACAUCGAAUGAAUUAAAUGCACUUUGGAAAGUGCACAUGAUAAACAGUGAAAAGCCCAAUCGAAAAUGGUAAGAAACUGACCCAAUCUAAUUUCCUCCGUCACAAAAUAUUGUAUAUCAUUUAGAGCAACUUUCACAUAUAGCAAAUAAAAAAAUCAUAUUUGUAUGCUAUAGCAAAAUUUGCAUAAUUGCGUUCCAUAACAAACAUAUAUAUGUAUAAUUCGCUAUACAUAUACAAUUGAAAGCUGUCUAUUUCGCUAUACAUAUAUACAAAAAGAAGCAAUUGUAUAAUUCGUUGGCUCCUCUUCAGAAUUGUAUAAUUUCGUUGGCAGGCCAUUUGUAUAAAUUGUUGUUUAAGCCUUCUCGUUUGUAUAAAUUCGUUGACAAAAAUAUUUGUAUAUCAAAAAUCGCUCUCUUUCGCUUUAUACAAACAUAAAUUAUACAUUAUACAAACAUAAAACUGGGCAGGGGAAUGUUUUUAUUGUAUAAUUAUAAGUGUAUAGGAUGAAUAUACAUGUAUUUGCAUGUGUAUAUAUAAUUUUCUCGCGCUUUAUACAAAUAGAAACACAAUUUAUACAAUUCUGUUGUAUAAAACGAGAAAGAGAGAAAGGCAAAAGAGAACUGGGCAGAGAAAUAUUUUUAUUAUAUAAUUAUAAGUGUAUAAGACGAAUAUAUAUGUAUUUGCAUGUAUAUAUACAAUUUUCUCUCACUUUAUAUAAACAGAAACGCAAUUUAUACACUUCUGUUGUAUAAAGCGAGAGAGGCGAGCACAGAGGGAGUGAGCGAGAGAGGAGAGUGGCGAGCGAGAGUUUGAGGGAGAGAGGCGCUGACAAACAGUUUGCUACAUGACACAAUUAAAUCAAAAUGUGAUUAUACCAUUUAAUUUGAAUUAAUAGUUAGCCAUUAUGUACAAUUUUCCCUAUCAUUUAUAUGCCUUAAUCAACAAAUAUCAUAUAUUUAGUAAAAUAUCAAAUGAUUCACUCUUAAUUUUAAAUAGAGAUAUGACACAAGCAUUCUUAGACUAUGAUCGAAAUUUCGGAGAGACACAUAAACUUAACUAAGGUUCUAUCACCCCGAACUCAUUUUUUGAUAUUUUUGUGCACCUUUUAUGCUGACGUGACACCUUCAACCACCCAAGUUGACUGUGUUUGUACACAUGUGUCUGCCAUGUUUGUAAAUGUUUUCUAAAAUUUUUAAAUUUGUUUUUUUUUAAAAUAUUUUUAUUUUUUUUAUCAUAUAUUUAAAUUAAGUUAAUAUAUAUUUUCUUACCUUGUAUCUAAACUUUUUUUUUAAAACUUCAUUCAUUGUUUUUUUUCUUUUAUUUACUCUUUUUAUUUUCUUUGUCUUUCCUUUUGAUUUGAUUUCAAACAUCUUGUAUUUAAGAUAAGUUAAUUUCGAAGGGAUAGCAAAAUAAGUGAAGAAAUCAAAUUAAACAUUAAAAAAAUUAAAACGUUAAAAUUAAAGGAUGCUUUUUUUAAAAAAAAAAAUAAGUAUAAUUUUUAAAAAUAAUUAAAAGUGAAAAGAUAAGAAAUUAAUGAAAGAAAAAAUAUAAAAAGUUUAAAGUGAGAAACAAAAUAAAAUAAAUAUUUUACAAAGAAAGAAAUGUAAAUAAUUAAAUAUAUAUAAGUUUUAAUAUCAAUAAAUAAGUGUACUAACUAAUUAUAAAGUUACCACUUAAAAAAUUACAUGUGUUUAAUUUUGUUCACUCAUCACUUGCCUUAUAAUGUAUUUAUUUCAUUUUAAAUUAGUUUAGAAGGUAAUAGAACCCUUGUUAAGUUUAUACGUAUCUUUGAGAUUUCAGUCAUAAGAAAAAAGAAGAAGUCAUAUUCUAAGGAUACUUGUAAUUUUUAAAUACCUCGAUUUCUUUUAAAUCCAUCAGGUGAUACCAUUUCUAAUCUGACCAAAAAAAGAUACCAUUUCUAAUAUUCUGGACACCAUAUAGUGCACGAAACUUGUAUUUUCUUCUUGGUGUUUGAGCCUGGAGAAUCAUGGUUAAUAAAUAUUAAAUGAACGAAAAUCAAAUGCACAUUGGAAAGUAUACAUGAUAAAGAAAUGAAAUUAAAAAGGCCAAUCGAGGAGCAAAAGUUACACGAAUGUAGUAGAACUGUGGGAUUAUAUGCACAUCUUGAAUUGAAAUUUGUAAAAAGCCAGCUGGUUGGUCCACAGAUAAUAUAGCCACGCUAUAUAAUCCCCUGCUAGACAAAUAUUUUAAGGGGUGACUAAACCCAACUAGUAGAAAUAAUACAAUGUAGGUACACUUGAAUAAACAAAGGGAAACAAUACACAAGUUGAAGUAGUUCGAAUGAUCAACGAGAGUUGUAGUGUAGUGAUAAAUACUUCUUCAUUCUUAAUUAGAAGUUUUAGAUUCGAGUCUCCGGGGUAUAGAGUCGCCUUUGUUAGAGAGCCUAUUCGAUUUGAGAUUUUCCAAUGCGAAUUUAGAUUUAGUCGGACUCCAGUUCCAAUGAAAAUGAUAGUGUGAGGGUUGGAAAGACUCACCAUAUAUGUAUGGGCUGUCACUUAGCUUUGAUGCCAUCAUUUUUAAUCCUGUUUCCAGCUCAAUAUAUGCUCAAAUCUUUUUUUCCUGCUUUCGGUUUUACUUUGAACCUUCCUCUUUAUUUCCUUAAGCAUAACCCCACACGCUCUAGCUACUUCUUUGUUGCUGAAGUGGGGUGGUAUAAACCCUUAUAAAACCUCACUCCAACUCUAAUUCAUCCAACAAAUUAAAGUUUGAAAUCUUUAGAACUAAACAUGGCUUUUUCUUCUUCUAAGUUAAUACUACUUUUGAUGUGUUUUAUGAUCAGUGCUUUUGGCAUUGCAAUUGCAGCCAAGUUCGAUCAAGAAUUCGACGUCACAUGGGGUGAUGGCAGAGCAAAAAUACUCAACAAUGGCGACCUCCUUACUCUCUCACUUGACAAAAUCUCUGGCUCUGGUUUUCAAUCCAAGAAUGAAUAUCUCUUUGGUAAAAUUGACAUGCAGCUCAAACUUGUCGCUGGAAAUUCUGCGGGCACCGUCACUGCCUACUAUGUAAUUCCCUUAUUUUCUUUUUUCUUAAAUGAUUUUUGAGUUUAUUGAGUUGAAAUGGAAUUGAACUUCUUUUUUGAAAAUUUAUUGCAGUUGUCAUCACAAGGACCAACACAUGAUGAGAUAGAUUUUGAAUUCUUGGGAAAUCUAAGUGGUGAUCCUUAUACUCUCCACACUAAUGUAUUUAGCCAAGGCAAAGGAAACAGAGAGCAGCAAUUCCAUCUUUGGUUUGACCCUACUGCUGAUUUCCACACAUAUUCAAUCACUUGGAAUCCACUACGCAUCAUGUAAGUAAUUAAAGAUUCGAUCUUUCUUCAAAAAUAUGUGACUUUUUAAAUCAAAUCUUGAUUUGGGGUUAUCUUAUUUUUGGUUUAACAGAUUUUAUGUGGACGGAACGCCCAUUAGAGAAUACAAGAAUAGCGAAUCAAUGGGAGUUUCAUAUCCGAAGAACCAAGCAAUGAGGAUUUACUCGAGUCUUUGGAAUGCAGAUGAUUGGGCUACAAGAGGAGGACUUGUCAAGACUGAUUGGAGCCAAGCACCCUUUAGUGCUUCUUACAGAACUUCAAAUCUAACACAUUCUUUUGGGAUAAACCUUGAUUUGGGGUUCUCUUAUUUUUUGAUUGAACAGAUUCUAUGUGGACGGAAUGCCCAUUAGAGAAUACAAGAAUAGUGAAUCAAUGGGAGUUUCAUAUCCGAAGAACCAACCAAUGAGGAUAUAUUCAAGUCUUUGGAAUGCAGAUGAUUGGGCUACAAGAGGAGGACUUGUCAAGACUGAUUGGAGCCAAGCACCCUUUAGUGCUUCUUACAGAAACUUCAGUUCUAAUGCUUGUAUUCCCAGUUCUUCAUCUUCUUGCAGUUCCAAUACUACAACUUCAACAAGCAAUUCAUGGUUGAAUGAAGAGUUAGAUAACACAAGCCAAGAGAGGCUCAAAUGGGUGCAGAAGAAUUACAUGGUUUAUAAUUACUGCACUGAUUCUAAACGAUUUUCACAAGGAUUUCCAGCAGAUUGUCUUCAGAAUAGCUGAGCAUUUACAGUGAAAUUUUUUGUAUUCUUUUACUUUUGAUCUAUAAAACUAUUAUAUUGAUUCUUUUAUUGUUCUGCACCAACCAGUAGCAGAGGAUUACAAACAUCUUAAUUUUUAGUUUUGUUACUGAGGGAUCGUUUGGUGAAAUUACACUGUGUGUUUGCCCCAAGUUUUCUUAGGAAUAUUUGACUAUUUCAAAAAAUAUAAUUUAUUUCCAUAGUUCUAAAAACUAUUAAAAAUAUCCAUAAAUUUAUAUUAUCUAUUUAUAGUGAAUAUGCUCAAUUAAAAAAUAACCUUAUAACAUAAUUGAUAACAAUCAACAACAACAAAAUAACAAUAUAUGCAAGAGCAAUACAUUAAUCACAUAUUCAAACUUGUCAUUGAUUCGGUUAUAAUUAUAAUCCAUUAGAAACAAUUUGUUCUUUUUUCUCAAUUUUGUCACUGAAAUUAGAAUUCGGAUUCUUCCGGAGGAGGUGGUAACAAACUGUUCCUUAAUAUAAUUUUCCCACAUUCUACGGACAAUCUCUUCCCUACAAGCAUUCAUUGUUAGAUUAGAAGACAGAGAAGACAAAACAAUAUUGUUACUCUGAGUCGAUUGUUCGUCAUCUUCAUCAGUAACCAUAUCAUCACGUUUAUGUUCAUUGAAUAUUUCAUCACUGUUUUGAUUUUCACGCAAAAGAAUUAUGUAAUAUGGCACAAUCAACUACUACUUUCACUUGCAUGCCUAAAUCAUAGUUGUUCAUGUCUUGUUGUAGUAUUCUGAAUCUACUUUUCCACGCACCAAAUGUUCUUUCAAUUACAUUACGCAAAGAGACAUGUCUAUAGUUAAAUAACUCAUUGUCAUGCUUAGGCUCUCUUUCACUUUUCUUGUAGUCCUGCAAAUAAUAUCACAUUCCUUUGUUACUUAAUAGAUAGAGAUGUUUAAUAUGAUUGGUGAGCAUGUUGUUUAAUAGAUAGAGGAGUAAUCUUGUUAUUUAUUGGUAGUAAUAGAUAGAUAUGGUAGAUACAAAAUAAUGGAUUUUUUUUAUAAAAUAUAGAAGUUUGGGGGUGAUUUUUGAAUUUUUUAAAAUUCUCAAGUACUAUAACUUGACCCAAAAACUAGUUUUUUUUAGUAUUUGGAAACUUGAAAUUCUUGACAAAUAUAUUUGCCAAGUUAUGUAGCAAAACACCGCUGGCCAAGUGUUUUCCAAAUUUUUUCCAAGUUUUCCCAAGUUUUAUUUGGGGCCAAACAGGUCCUAUAUCUCUUGUUAUAUUUUCGGUCUAAAUAUACCACCUUCUAUUAUACUUUUGGUCCAAAUAUUUCAUUAUACUUUGACUCAAAUUUAUUCUCGAUCUUAACAAAACAAAUAUGUUUCAAGCUGAGAAUCAAAUAACUUGCUCUGAAUUUUAAAUAAUUUGAUUUCUUUUUAAAUCCAUUAGGUGAUACCAUUUCUAGUAUUCUGGAUACCAUAAAGUGCAGGGGAACUUUUGCCUAUUUUCUAAUAUUUUUGUUGUUUGAACAUGGAUGAUCAUGGUUAGUAAAAUAUUGAUCAAUGAUCAAAAUGCAAAUGCACAAUGGAAAGUGUACACGUUAAAUAAAUGAAAUUGAAAGGGCCAAUCGAGGAGCAAAAAAUUACCCGAAUGUAUUAGGAGUACAGCCGGAUUAGAUGCAUAUCUUGAAUUGAAAUUUGUAAAAUGUUAGCUGUUUGGUCCACAGAUAAUAUUGCCACGGGAUGUAACCUCUUGCUACUCAAAUACCUUAAGGCGGUACUGUAGGUACACUUGAAUAAACAAAGGGAACAAUACACAAGUUUAACUAGUUCCAAUAAUAACGAGAGUUAUGGUGGAAUGGUAAAUAUUUCUUCAUUAAAUUUCAAAUUAGAGUCUCACCUUUGUUAUAGAUCCUUUAUCCUCCAAUGUGGGUUUUUUCAAUGCAAAUUCAAAUUUAGUGAGGCUUUGAUAUAAAUACCGAACACCAAAUUAUAAAAAAAAACAAAAAAAACUAGUUCCAAUGAGAAUGAUAGUGCGAGUCUUGGAAAGACUGACCAUAUAUGGGCUGUCACUUAGCUUUGAUGCCAUCAUUUUUUAUCCUGUUUCCAGCUCAAUCUUUUUUUUCUUGCUUUCUGUAUUACUUUGAACCUUCCUCUUUAUUUCCUCAAGCCUAUCCCCACACGCUCUACCUACUUAUUUGUUGGUGAGGUGGGGGUGGUAUAAACCCUUAUAAAACCCCAUCUAGCUUUCCAACUCCAAUUCAUCCAACAAACUUUGAAAUCUUAAGAAUUAAACAUGGCUUCUUCUUCUAAGUUAGUACUUGUAAUGUGUUUUAUGGUUAGUGCUUUUGGCAUUGCAAUUGGAAACACGUUAGAUCAAGAAUUUGAGAUAACAUGGGGUGAUGGCAGAGCAAAGAUACUCAACAAUGGCGACCUCCUUACUCUCUCACUUGACAAAAUCUCUGGCUCUGGUUUUCAAUCGAAGAAUGAAUAUCUCUUUGGUAAAAUUGACAUGCAGCUCAAACUAGUCACUGGAAAUUCUGCUGGCACUGUCACUGCUUAUUAUGUAAUUCCCUUAAUUUCUUUUCUUAUAUGAUUUUUGAGCUACGUGUUUAUUGAAUUGAAAUGAA